rnacentral:rRNA from 1 species
UAGGGAAUCUUCGGCAAUGGACGAAAGUCUGACCGAGCAACGCCGCGUGAGUGAAGAAGGUUUUCGGAUCGUAAAACUCUGUUGGUAGAGAAGAACGUUGGUGAGAGUGGAAAGCUCAUCAAGUGACGGUAACUACCCAGAAAGGGACGGCCAACUACGUGCC